rnacentral:rRNA from 1 species
UACGGAGGGGGCUAGCGUUGUUCGGAAUUACUGGGCGUAAAGCGCGCGUAGGCGGACCUGCAAGUCGGGGGUGAAAGCCCGAGGCUCAACCUCGGAACUGCCUUCGAUACUGCGGGUCUCGAGUCCGGGAGAGGUGAGUGGAAUUCCUAGUGUAGAGGUGAAAUUCGUAGAUAUUAGGGAGAGCACCAGUGGCGAAGGCGGCUCACUGGCCCGGUACUGACGCUGAGGCGCGAAAGCGUGGGGAGCAAACAGG